AGUGAACGCUGGCGGUAGGCCUAACACGUGCAAGUCGAACGGCAGCACAGUAAGAGCUUGCUCUUACGGGUGGCGAGUGGCGGACGGGUGAGGAAUACAUCGGAAUCUACUUUUUCGUGGGGGAUAACGUAGGGAAACUUACGCUAAUGCCGCAUACGACCUACGGGUGAAAGCAGGGGAUCUUCGGACCUUGCGCGAUUGAAUGAGCCGAUGUCGGAUUAGCUAGUUGGCGGGGUAAAGGCCCACCAAGGCGACGAUCCGUAGCUGGUCUGAGAGGAUGAUCAGCCACACUGGAACUGAGACACGGUCCAGACUCCUACGGGAGGCAGCAGUGGGGAAUAUUGGACAAUGGGCGCAAGCCUGAUCCAGCCAUACCGCGUGGGUGAAGAAGGCCUUCGGGUUGUAAAGCCCUUUUGUUGGGAAAGAAAAGCAGCAGGUUAAUACCCCGCUGUUCUGACGGUACCCAAAGAAUAAGCACCGGCUAACUUCGUG
rnacentral:rRNA from 1 species